GGCCCUGGGGGCAGCCGCCUGCAGGGGGGCCUCGUUCUGCACUUCCACGCCCUGGAAAAUAAAAAUGAUUCAGGACCAAAAGGCGCAAAGAAUGACGAAAACGCGAUAAAUGCUCAUCGCUGCAAAUGACUUUGUUGGGUGUCGUGUCCUCGGCCCUGAGUGUUAAUGCCCCGGUGGCGCUCCCCGCUGACUUUAACUCAAGAUUAUCCUGGAUGACCUGAGGGGGCCGUGGCUCAAAGUCAUUGAGAGCAACACGGAGAUGUUCCUGAGGAGAAA